GUCGCAUGUCGACUUAUUUUGAUAAUUAAUAUAACUUGCUUAUGGAUUUGUAGUAAGAAAAAUAUUUUGGAUUUAUAAGUAUGUGAAAGAAAUUAGUAGGGAUGGCGACAGUGAAUAGUACUGUAAAGGAAGAUUGAAAUAUUAGUGGUAAUUAAAUUAAAAGAAUAGAUGAAGUUUAGUACCUUGUGUAUUAGGGAUAUUUUAUGUUAAAUAGUUAUAUUUAUUAUUCCCGAAAUAAGGAGAGCUAAGUUGAAAAGUGAAUUUUUAUUGUACAAAAAUUUGUAAUUUUAUUUUAGUAGUGAAAUGUUAAUCGGGCCUUAAGAUAUCUGGUUUCCUUUGAAAAAAAUUUAAUUUUUUCUUUAUGUUGGAGAUGUGGAAAUAAGGCAUAGGAGUAGGGGGGUAAAGCUCUUUACACAAUAAAAAAUUAAUUAUAGGGAUAAAUGAGGAAAGUUGGUAUUGAGCUAGGCUUAGAAGUAGCCGUGCCUUCAAAUGGUUAUACUUGAGGUGAAUGUUGAGAAUAUUUAUUUGUUUUUUAGUAUAGUAGGGGGAAGCUGUUUGAAGUUGAAUUUAAUAGUUUAAAAUGAGUGUAUUAGUAUAUUGUAUUGUUCAUAAUUUUUAUUGGGGGGGAUUAAUAAAUUUACUGAGGUAGUGACGAAAUGAAGGAAUUCGGCAAAAAGUUGUUUCCGCCUGUUUAUCAAAAACAUGUCUGUAUGAUAGAUAUAUAGAGUCUGGCCUGCCCACUGUGAAUUUAAGGGCCGCGGUAUUAUGACCGUGCGAAGGUAGCAUAAUCAUUAGUCUUUUAAUUGGAGGCUGGUAUGAAUGGUUGGACGAGAAAUUAGCUGUCUUGAAUUUUGAAAAUUGAAUUUAACUUUUAAGUGAGAGGGCUUAAAUGAGCUAGGGGGACGAUAAGACCCUGUAAAGUUUAUACGCCGAACUAAUUAAGAGUGAUUUAGGUUUGUAAGGUUUAUUAUUGGAAAGGUGUUUAGUUGGGGCGACUAGGAUAUAAGGUAUUUAACUGUUUCUUUUUUGUAGUCAAAAAUAUUUGAGUUUAUGAUCCUUUUUUAGGAUUUUAGAGUAAAUUACUUUAGGGAUAACAGCGUAAUUUUUUUUGAGAGUUCUUAUCGAUAGAAGAGUUUGCGACCUCGAUGUUGAAUUAAAAUUUCUUUGUGAUGCAGCAGUUACAUGGGAGGGUCUGUUCGACCUUUAAAGUUUUACAUGAUUUGAGUUCAGACCGGCGUGAGCCAGGUUGGUUUCUAUCUUCUAGGUGUAUUUGAAUUAUUUUAGUACGAAAGGAUUAAAUAAUUGGAAUAGUUUUAAAGUGUUUAUAAACUAUAUUAUAAAUAAACUUGAAGUUUAUUAUAAAAUAAAGAAAG
rnacentral:rRNA from 1 species